AUUGAACGCUGGCGGCAGGCCUAACACAUGCAAGUCGAGCGGAGCGGCGGACGGGUGAGUAAUGCCUAGGAAUCUGCCUGGUAGUGGGGGAUAACGUCCGGAAACGGGCGCUAAUAUCGCAUACUAUCAGAUGAGCCUAGGUCGGAUUAGCUAGUUGGUGGGGUAAAGGCCUACCAAGGCGAAGAUCCGUACCUGGUCUGAGAGGAUGAUCAUUCAGACGGGGAAUGAGAUACGGCCCAGACGCCUACGGGAGGCAGCAGUUGGGGAUAUUGCACAAUGGGCGAAAGCCUGAUGCAGCGACGCCGCGUGGGGGAUGAAGGCUUUCGGGUUGUAAACCUCUUUCGCUAUCGAACGGGUAGGUGGAGAAGAAGCGCCGGCUAACUACGUGCCAGCCGCCGCGGUAAUUC
rnacentral:rRNA from 1 species